ensembl:lncRNA
GGGGGAUGUGGGCCAUGAUUGAACACCCAGGCAAAACCUAUAGGAGCACAGAGGCAUCAACCUCCACAUGACUGAUUAGAACUCCACAAUUGCAUGAUCCAGGAAGAGACUUCCUACACAGAAAAAUGGAAACCAGCCCCAAGAAAUGACUGCCAGGAGAGAAAUCAUAGUGUGGAAAAAAGAGAUGACACUCACAGCUGGAGUCCCACCUGGGGUGUUUGGCCAACUCAAUGCUCAGAAAUGUCUUUUUACUUCUUAGCAUUGAUCCCCAUUGACAUUUUCUUCACCAGAGUAUGAUCCCUUCCUAUCAAACCAUCCACCAGUUGUCUGACAAGUCAGUUUUUCUUCUCUUCCAUUGCUUAGGACUUAUUGUCUACUGGCUGUGUCUCUAAAGCCUUUUGCUCCCUAUGCAAUAAGGACUGGUUGGUUUGCUGCAAAAAUGGUCUUUUUUUCCCCUUUUUCUUCCUCUCAUUAACAGACUCUUAAGCCAUCGUGGGAGGAGAGCUCCUCCAGGGCAGAGCUGGAGAUAAGAGAAUCAUUUCAUCUUCUAUUUGGCUCCAGCAAAGGCUUCCGCUGCACGACAAAACAUUUCCCCUCCGGAGGAACUGUGUGAGUGCCACUGGAUGGAUGUGAAAAGUUGGCAUAAAAUAUUCCAUGUCGCUCAAAUUGCAUUGCUCCUUCCUCCACAGAAGCCGGCAAUGUGAAAGCUGAUUGCAGCUGUUGCCUACCCGGUGCUUUGGGGUUUCUGUGUGCUAUGAGCAGUGGGUUCCUGCCACGUAUGAAGAAACUGAUGUUGCAUCACGAGCAGCGUCGCAAGGGCUGAAAGGAAGCUCUGUCACUGCGGUCUCUGCUAUGGGGCUGAGCAAACGAUCACAGUGGGAUUCAUUCCAGCGAAGAGCAGUGAUGCGUUCCAGCUUUCACCCAGAGAGCUCAGAGCAUUGCAGGGAGUGUAGUCCUCCUGGAUUGCAGAGGGAGCAUGGAAUGGAGCCAGGUUUGCUGCUGCCAGGCAGUGAUCCGGGCAGAGCUGUGUUUCCUGCCUUGCUGCGCCGUGCCAACUCCAUACUGCAUGACAGAGAAUGGGAGAUGGGGAAGCCUAAAGAGCCUGGUGUGGGGCUGCUGGUAGCAAGGAGGAGUUUCUGGAGCUACUGGUGCUGGUUGGAGGAACAAAGCCUUGUUGCCACUGCAGCCUUGCGAGCAGCAAAGAGCUCUGCAGUGAAACCGGAGGACAUGGGAACAUCAUUAUUUUGUCUUUCAAACUACAUCCCAUGGAGCAUAGAGGUACUAUCAGACCUCCCCUGGGGAUGAGGAUGCACUGUGCCUCCUCCUGAUGGCAGAGCGUGGCUCAGGAACACGUUUUUGAAGAACAUUUUGCAAGCAAGGGAACCAUGCUUGCACAACAGCGUACUUCUCAAGUGACUUAGAUGGCUCAGAUAUCUUUGCUCCCCUGGCUUUCAGGAAAGUAUAAACAUCCUUCAGGUAUCUCCAUUCCAUCUGAAAUACCUCUGAGCCACAGAGAAUAAAAGAUUUAUUGCAUAAAUUGCUGUGUGGGUUUUCUUGCUUGGAUGCAGGAGGUGAAGGUGCUGCCCAGACCUCAAAGCUCCAUUCUUUUUGCUCUUUUCUGCAGAUAAAGAGAGUCUGCAGACAACUCCUCUUUCCCCUCAAGAGGUGAACCCUCAUCUGUGCAGCAAGUAUUAAACACUGGAGAAGCCCAAUGUCCUGUUUAUUAGACACUGAAGAAUCCAAAUGCUAAUACAUGGGGAUGUAUUAGUGUAUAUCCAGUUGGAGAACCCACAGCAGGACUAAAUCUUGAGAAAGCUUUCUAGCAACCCACAUCUGAGGGAUUCUACUCUUUGUGAUGGUUCUUUUUUUCCAAGGAUGGGGGUGUAAUGCCUGUAUCCCCCAAGGAGUUGGGACAACCAGGAGUAAUUGUAUUCUCCCAUUUUCACGUUGCCUUGAAAGGACAUUCACACAGCAAAAUGGAAGAAAAUCAACACCUUCUUCAACAUUUCAGGCCAAAGCCUAAAUCCCUAUUCAUAUGAAAGCUUCUGCUGGCUCUUGCAGUGUUUAUUGUUCUCAAUUUAAUUGAAGUAGAGGGAUUAAUGCAGCUCUGUUUUCCUUCACUGACUUCAAUGAAUUGCUCUUGAGCACAGACCAGGAACAGGGCUGGGGCUCUGCUUUAUGUUUUUUUUUUUUUUUA